rnacentral:lncRNA from 1 species
UGAUGCUUUGAGGAAAACCCAAGAAAUUAUACCUGACCAAUCCAGGACAAACAAGAACACGUCCAAGAACAUUUCAGGGAUUACAACGGACCAAGCCAGACCUAAUCUGUUGGAAGUCAGCAAUAUUAUUCCAAAAGCCUCCACUGAAGUGCAGUCUUCAGGAAAUAGAGGUCCUGCUGUGGGGUCUGCCCAGUCUUCGCCCGUGAAUGUGUCGGCUACAUGUGCCAGCAGACCCUGCUUUCCAGGAGUUCAAUGCAUCAAUCGGAGGCCACCUCAUGUUGGAUAUGUUUGUGGUCGAUGCCCGCCUGGCCUUUAUGGUAAUGGACGUGUUUGUAUGAAGAGCGCCAAGGCAGCAUCCAAUCAUCUCCCUCAGCAGCAGACUUUAGGGAAAUCUACUCGACCUCAGCACGGAACAAGUAAAGUUUCCCAGCUGCACCUUCCAUCUCUGCCCAACAGACACAACAUCAAACAUCUGUCUGCAUCGGUCACCAGAGCAAACCGAGACAACACCCCACGCCAGCCUCCUGCUUUAGGAAGGGAAGGUGGGACGGGCAGAAGAGAAGCGGUUACUGUCGUAUCAAGAGAUGUCCCUAAAGUAACCAACGGUGACGUCCACUUAACUACGAAUAGCCAUGUCACUCACCAAGGUGCCCACCCCAGAUCAGACGCCACUACAUACGCCAAAACUAGCAGAACUACAAACAGAAAGUUAGUGCUUCCACGUGCACCUGUUUCUACGAAUUCUAAUGGAGCGCUGGCAGGUGCCUCACCCCUCAAGGUGACCCGACCCGCUCCUCACCCCCCGACCCAGUUUUCCAGAGAGACACAACCCAAACACACACCUCAUUCCCAGCGGAGCCACCUGGCGUCCAUGCAACCCCAACCCUGGACCAAUCCAAAACCGGUUCUCCCGCUCACCGCCGCCCUCAGCGCUCUGUCCUACUCCAUGUCUGAGUCGGAGUUCUCAGCGGACGGAGAUGAGGAGGAACCUGGAUCCCAGAGCCCAGAGCAGUCGUCGGUGGUCCCAGUGUUGACCCUCACAACACCGGGUAAGACAGUGUCCACCUCCCCCCUCCAAAAGGCUGCAUCCGUCCAACCAGGGCCUGGAAGCAGCACCACACCAGCCCUGACCACCUGCGCAGACCGACCAUGUUUUCCUGGCGUCCAGUGUGAACCCGCCUUGGACGGAGGCUUCCGCUGUGGGAGGUGUCCUGUUGGAUAUACCGGUGAUGGACAGACCUGUCGAGCUGUUUGCAAGCAUACGUGUGGAAGAAAUAUGGCGUGUGCAGCGCCGAAUACAUGCCGCUGUAAACCAGGAUACACUGGACUCAACUGUGAGACAGG